rnacentral:rRNA from 1 species
AUACGGAGGGUGCGAGCGUUAAUCGGAAUUACUGGGCGUAAAGCGUACGUAGGCGGUUCGUUAAGUUAGAUGUGAAAGCCCCGGGCUUAACCUGGGAACUGCAUUUAAAACUGGCGAACUAGAGUUGAGUAGAGGGGAGUGGGAUUUCAGGUGUAGCGGUGAAAUGCGUAGAGAUCUGAAGGAACACCAGUGGCGAAGGCGACUCCCUGGACUCGAACUGACGCUGAGGUACGAAAGCGUGGGUAGCAAACGGGAUUAGAAACCCUAGUAGUCC